UACAGAGGGGGCAAGCGUUGUUCGGAAUUACUGGGCGUAAAGGGCUCGUAGGCGGCCAACUAAGUCAGACGUGAAAUCCCUCGGCUUAACCGGGGAACUGCGUCUGAUACUGGAUGGCUAGAGGUUGGGAGAGGGAUGCGGAAUUCCAGGUGUAGCGGUGAAAUGCGUAGAUAUGGGGGAGAACACUCGUGGCGAAGGCGGCCAGCUAGACCAGUUCUGACACUGAGGCGCGACAGCGUGGGGAGCAAACAGG
rnacentral:rRNA from 1 species